rnacentral:misc_RNA from 1 species
AUAAUUUUUCAUUAGAAGGAUGACGAUGGUGAGUGAAGGAUCAUGACAAGCCAACAGAAGAAUCAGAAAAUCUUGCCGGUUUAUGACUAAUGGACCAGUAGAAUGUAUAUACAAAGUAGACUAAAGAUAAGCAUAUACAACUCAGAAUUUCCAAGUAGCAUGAGUCCAAGAACAGCUAUUCUUGGAUGUUAACUUAGACAUAUUAUUAGAGAGAGAUGAAGAUGCUGCCCAUAAUUAUUAUGCAUCUAUCCUGCAUUAUGUAUCUAUAUUAGGUACCACUUAAUGCAAAGGACUUCAAAAGAUCCAGGAAAAUCAGUUCACUUCCAAAUAUGUAAGCAUACAUUACUUUUAAGGCAGGCACGA